UUGUUGGUACAUAAUGUACUAAACUUAAAGAAAAAAAUUGCAUCAAAGCUUGUUCAUAUCAGGAACCACAGUCGAUCCCUUAUACGGAGAAAUGAAAACCCGCGUAGUCUAUGGGGGGUAUAAUAUUAAGAUCCUAGCUUUGAGGUCUCAAUAAGAAAUCAAAAAUUGUAAAGUUGUAAAGGUACUGUAACACUUGGGCUUCUUAUAUAUACGGUGAUAACUUUUUAAAAAAUUCUUGAUUUGACCGUAAAUAUCAGAUUGAAAAUUUUAUUAAGAUAAUUAAAUGCUUUUUUUUUAUUUUUUAUUUUACAGAACUUUGAUAAACCAGAUGAGGCCUCGUCAUGUGCCAGUGCCCCACCACCCCCGGCGUCUGGUGAGGUACGGUAUAUUCCGGCCAAUAAAUGUUAUUAGAUUUAAGUAAGUGCUUUAUGUGUAUGUUUGUAACAAAAUUUUGCAACAAUAUCCAAAUUAAAUGCUUGAUUCCCUGACUAGUUGUAUUUUAUUCUUAUACACCCAUUUUGUGAUGGUUAUCGACUUUUUCAUGUAUAUAAAAAGUUUAAAUUCGGCAUUUUUGUAGGCCAUACAGAAGUGGAAGAGGAGCUGGCGGAACAAUAAAGUAUGGCGGAGAGAAAACUUUGAUAAACCAGAUGAGGCCUCGUCGUGUGCCAGUGCCCCACCACCCCCGGCGUCUGGUGAGGUACGGUAUAUCCCGACCAAUAAAUGUUAUUAGAUAAGCCACACAGAAGCGGAAGAGGAGCUGGAAGAACAACAGAGUAUGGCGGAGAGAGAACUUUGAUAAACCAGAUGAGGCCUCGUCGUGUGCCAGUGCCCCACCACCCCCGGCGUCUGGUGAGGCCAUACAGAAGCGGAAGAGGAGCUGGCGGAAGAAUAGAGUAUGGCGGAGAGAG